CCUACGGGAGGCAGCAGUGGGGAAUAUUGGACAAUGGGGGCAACCCUGAUCCAGCCAUGCCGCGUGUGUGAAGAAGGCCUUUUGGUUGUAAAGCACUUUAAGCAGGGAGGAGAGGCUAAUGGUUAAUACCCACUAGAUUAGACGUUACCUGCAGAAUAAGCACCGGCUAACUCUGUGCCAGCAGCCGCGGUAAUACAGAGGGUGCGAGCGUUAAUCGGAAUUACUGGGCGUAAAGCGAGUGUAGGUGGCUCAUUAAGUCACAUGUGAAAUCCCCGGGCUUAACCUGGGAACUGCAUGUGAUACUGGUGGUGCUAGAAUAUGUGAGAGGGAAGUAGAAUUCCAGGUGUAGCGGUGAAAUGCGUAGAGAUCUGGAGGAAUACCGAUGGCGAAGGCAGCUUUCUGGCAUAAUAUUGACACUGAGAUUCGAAAGCGUGGGUAGCAAACAGGAUUAGAUACCCUGGUAG
rnacentral:rRNA from 1 species